GAUGAACGCUGGCGGCGUGCCUAAUACAUGCAAGUCGAGCGAACAGACGAGGAGCUUGCUCCUCUGACGUUAGCGGCGGACGGGUGAGUAACACGUGGAUAACCUACCUAUAAGACUGGGAUAACUUCGGGAAACCGGAGCUAAUACCGGAUAAUAUAUUGAACCGCAUGGUUCAAUAGUGAAAGACGGUUUUGCUGUCACUUAUAGAUGGAUCCGCGCCGCAUUAGCUAGUUGGUAAGGUAACGGCUUACCAAGGCAACGAUGCGUAGCCGACCUGAGAGGCUGGUGGGCGCAGAUGGAGGUGAGCUACGGACCAGCCCCCUACGGGAGGGAGGAGAAGCGGCGUGGCUGCGAUGGGGCUGAGCAUUACAGAUCGCUGGCAAGAGAGAAAUAAAAGUGUUCGGAUAGUACAACACUGCUAGGAGGUACGAACAAAGAUGUCAGGGGCUAAGCACGUCUUGGCGGUACCGAAUAGGAACGGAACCGCUAGCUACGUG
rnacentral:rRNA from 1 species